rnacentral:rRNA from 1 species
AACGAACGCUGGCGGCAGGCCUAACACAUGCAAGUCGAGCGCGCCCUUCGGGGUGAGCGGCGGACGGGUGAGUAACGCGUGGGAACGUGCCCUUUUCUACGGAAUAGCCUCGGGAAACUGAGAGUAAUACCGUAUACGCCCUUUGGGGGAAAGAUUUAUCGGAAAAGGAUCGGCCCGCGUUGGAUUAGGUAGUUGGUGGGGUAAUGGCCUACCAAGCCGACGAUCCAUAGCUGGUUUGAGAGGAUGAUCAGCCACACUGGGACUGAGACACGGCCCAGACUCCUACGGGAGGCAGCAGUGGGGAAUCUUAGACAAUGGGGGCAACCCUGAUCUAGCCAUGCCGCGUGAGUGAUGAAGGCCUUAGGGUUGUAAAGCUCUUUCAGCUGGGAAGAUAAUGACGGUACCAGCAGAAGAAGCACCGGCUAACUCCGUG